ACCCCCCUACUGUGGAUGGUGCCUGCAACCAAGGCAUGUGCCCUUGACCAGAAUCGAACCUGAGACCCUUCAGUCCGCAGGCCGAUGCUCCAUGCGCUGAGCUAAACUGACCAGAAACUGCCAUUCUUUUUGCAGUGCUAUGACUACAGCAUGUAAAGAUCUUCCUGUCCCACAUCAUCCUUUCAAGCCCUUGUAACUUCCACUCAGUAGUUUGGAAUUCAUAAUUCAAUGACUGACAUCAGAAUUUGGUGAAAAUUUUUGUUUAUUUUCAUCAAGUAUGUAGGCCACCAUGUGGGUUCAUGCUGACACCUAUAGUUUUUAAUAUGAAUAUGAAGUUUUGGAAUACCACAAAUAAGCAUCUGUGUACUUUGUAAUUGGAGUGAUUUUUCUUGUACUGAUUUUCAUUGGAAAACUUAAUUUCUCAUUAACUUCUUUAUUGGGAUGGAAUUAAGCCAUGUUAAACAGGUUUUAUUCUCACUAUUUUAAUAUAUAUUUUUAUUGAUUUUAGAGAGGAAAGAAGAGAGAAAUAUCAAUGAUGUGAGGGAAUCUAUUCUCACUUUCUUGAAUGUAGCCUAAUGUUGGUCAUUCUUUCUAGAGGAACCCCAGAACCAUGGCAGCUUUGCAGUUAAAACCUUUAAUUAUUUUGGAUGCAAAAUUCUUUUGUAUAUUCACAACCUGAGCAUAGGUAUGUCCAGUGGCAUUAGUUGUUUCUGGAGUGUUUGCCAAGCCAUCAGUGCAAGUUCCAGGGACAGCAGGUAAGCAGAGAUUAAAAUGAGGAAGCUGAACAUUUAUUCUUCAGUGUCCAGGGCUGAAUUUGUACGAGGUGGUAAACAUCAGUUCCUAUGCACAUGCCACCCAAAGGAAUGA